rnacentral:rRNA from 1 species
CAGCAGCCACGGUAAUACGUAGGGUGCGAGCGUUAAUCGGAAUUACUGGGCGUAAAGCGUGCGCAGGCGGUUAUAUAAGACAGAUGUGAAAUCCCCGGGCUCAACCUGGGACCUGCAUUUGUGACUGUAUAGCUAGAGUACGGUAGAGGGGGAUGGAAUUCCGCGUGUAGCAGUGAAAUGCGUAUAUAUGCGGAGGAACACCGAUGGCGAAGGCAAUCCCCUGGACCUGUACUGACGCUCAUGCACGAAAGCGUGGGGAGCAAACAGGAUUAGAUACCCCAGUAGUCCCUGUCUCUUAUAC